rnacentral:lncRNA from 1 species
GAGAUGGUAAGAAGUGGAGGAUCGGAAGGUGUAGUUGAUGAAGGGAGGGUGGAGGGUCUCCCUAAGCCAUGGGAGUUUUUGCUUAAGUGAACAGGUUUUGUUGGUCUGUUGCAAAUGAUGGGGUCGGAGGGUUCGAGCCGGAGAUUGUGGAGUUGUGGUUCCUCUGAGGGUGGGGGCGCCCAUCCGGGUGGUUCUGGCCGGAACUUUAUGCAUGGCUUCCCUUUGCGGCAGGAAGUUGCUCCCAAGCCCCUGCAUGGACGGGGGCCCACACGUUUAAUUCUACUUUUAUCCAAACGUAUAAUCCAAACAUGCACUAACUCCCCCUGGUAAAUAAAUUUGGAAAUAAAC